UUUUAAGAGCCAGGCAUGGUGGUGUACACCCAUAAGUCCCAGCUACUCAGGGGGCUUAGGUGAGAGGAUCACUGAGGCACAGGAGUUGCGCUAUGACCAUCCCUGUGAAUAGCCCCUGCACUCCAGCCUGGGCAACAUCAUAGUGGGACCCCAGUUCAAAAAAAAAACAAAAACAAAAAAACAAAAAAAAGGAGGAAGAAGACGACAACCCAGGGAGAAAAAUCGUAUUGCAGAGGUCAAGGAUGCUUCACAUAAACUGUUUUAUGUGAAAGAAAGGAUUAUGAAUUCCUCUCUCCCUCAG